GAAAUUAAGCAUGACAGAGGUUUACUUGGUUGAAAAUGAUGAAGAAUUUCUGACAGAGAAAGGUGGGUUUUUGUUGAUUAUACAGACAGAUGAACGAAUUUAUUCCAAGAACGGGAGAGAAAGGAAUAGAGAGAGAAUGGGGAGCCUAUACUUAUCACCUCACAACAGAACCAUCUACGCCGCCCUCACCGGCCGCCGUAGCUCCUCCGUCACUCCUCCGUCGCCUGAAUCGCCCGUCACUCCUCUGGUUCUGAAUUGCCCAUCAAAUCUGCACAGGACUGAUGGUGCCUUUAUCACUGGUGAUAAUGACGGUUAUGUCACCAUAUGGAAUGCUCAAAGUAAAAGAAGAGUUUUUGAGAGGAUCGUCGAAUUUACUCACAGAAUCAUGGAUAAACGACCGAGAAAGCGACCUCGAUUGGAUUGGGACAUGCCAGAUCCUGUUCAUCCUCCUCCGAAGAUAAAAGGAUGUCGCUAACUGGAUUUUGAAGUAUUGUGAGGAGGUAAAGACAGACUUACACCCCAAUGGAAAAAAAAGCUUGCAAAGGAGGGAAAAGUGUAAGCAAAAAUCUGCACCACCACAAUCCGCCAGAGCCUCCACAGCGGCACCUAAAACUCUCCCUACCUAGAGAGGCAAUGCACCUCCUGCCAAGACUGCUAAGCCCUCACCAACUGUAAACGUCUCUGCAUAUGAUCAAUAGAUCUGUCGAUGAUAGUCCGAAUAGAAGCCGAUCGAAUGUUGAAACUGGUGUUAGUUUAUUGAAAUUGAAGAAUUCUUCGAAGAAGUUGUUAGAUAGUAUUCUGGAUAAACCGGUAUGGAAUCCUACAGUUGCGACGAUAAGACUUUAGGAUAGACGGGAGUUCAUUAUGUGGAAGAAUACCUGAUUUUAUCGGAAACUGGACAAACCUCACGAGACUUGAUUUGCAAGGAACUUCAAUGGAAGGACCAAUCCCUUCUACGAUAUCUCGAUUGACAAAGUUGAAGGAAUUGUGAGCGCGUUAUUAAGCCUCCCCUUUGUUUUUUUCCUCUUUAAAUUUAUUUGAGUAUUCAUAUAUCCAUUUACGGUUAUGAGGAGAAUAACUGAUCUGGCUGGAGCAUCCAGUUCAAGAUGUUCGGAUCUACUAUCUUUGACACAAUUGAACACAUCUUAUCUAAUAGGGAUAGUAACGGGUAGUAUAACGAAAACCCUGUGAAAUUAUCUUCGAUUUUAUCAGCGGCUUUUUAUGUUCAUCCAACAUAUUUCUUAUUGCAGAGAUGUGAGUUUCAACACUUUGACUGGCUCAAUACCUGAUUCAGUUUUGGGUUAAAACAGUGUUUGAAACCACUGUUGGGUAAAAACAAUGUUUUGAAACCACUGUUGGGUCAACAGAUGGACGGAAACAGAUGUUUGAAACCACUGUUGGAUUAAAACAGUGUUUUGUGGAUAAAACAGUGGUUGAAACUACUGUUGGGUAGAAAAGGUGGUUUGAAACCACUGUUGCGUUAAAACAAUGUUUUGUGGAGAAAACAAAUGUUUGAAACCACCGUUGGGUUAAAAUGGUGGUUUGACUUUGGUCAAACAGACUUUUGAACCACUAAAAGAGUCGUUUACUCUUUUAUUAUGUAGCAGUGGUGGAGGCUAUCACAUAGCUGUUGGUAGCAGUGGUGGAAAAGAUGGAGUCGACAAUACGCGUCGCGAAUCUUUGCGGAAUAAGAAAGUGCAGUUGACUGGUUGGAUCAGUUUGGUGAGAUUUACAGCAAAAGAUGAUACUAGUGGCGCAUGUGUCCAUGAAAAAGUCACCACUUGGUGAACAGAUGGGAAAAAUCUCCUGGUGGAAGUGAAGUCAUGACGAAUGGUUGAUAUAGCUUAAGUGGAAAUGACAGAAACCAUCAGAAACUGAUGAGACUUUAAAGGGUCAAGAUUUGUCUCUCCGGCUUGGUCCAACCACAUGAUCAUUUCAGAUCUAUCUAUCUGGGUAUAAAAAUGAACGUAUCGACUAAUUGUACAUUCUUUAUCCUCGGCUUAGUCCAAACACGAGUUGCAUUGUAAUAAUUGUAUUUUAUCAUGUGAUUAUUGUCGACAUUGUAUUGUUGAGAAACUUUAAUCUUUUUAUUGUGAAGAAAUCGUUUCAUA